AUUUCACUUGAAGGCAAAUAUGUGACUCGUGUCACGUACACUUACAUUAUAAAUUAAAAUUUUCUGUAAACUUUACAAUUUUGCAAUUUCAGCAGGUGUGCAUCCUCUUAUGAAAGGUUUAUGUGAUUGAAUGAAUAUUUAUGAAAUUAUAAUUUUGUAUCUUACUGCCGAAUUUUGAAAGCCUUCACAAAAAUAUGUAAAGUAUAUAAAUAAAAAGGUAGAUGACUUAAAUAAAUUCGUUCAGAUUUAGAAUUAUCCUUGCUAAAGUGAGCAUUUAGAAAAAAAUUCCAGUCUUGUCGAAAUUAGUAACAUUUAAUUUUGGUAAAUUAGAUACAAAAUGUCCCUAAAUUCUUUGAAGACCUGGAUUCUUUUUCUGUUUGUGGUAAUCAUAUUUUUCAUCAUAAAAGCUGACGCCUCCUGUUGUGGGUGGAGUGGCUGGAAUUGCGUGGAUCGCAGCGGGAAAUAUACUUGCUAUUCGCGCUGUGGGGGUGGCUGGAGUUGUCCAGGAUAUCCGGCGAAUGUGGAAUGCUGUCAGUGAAUAAAUCAAGCAAUUUUUUAAAUAAUAGAGAUGAUGUUACCCUUGUGGAAUUUUUUUUGAUCAAUUUGCCGUACUUGCCGUGAUAUGCCCAACUUGUAUGCCCAAUAUAUGUACUUGGGUUACUUAGGUAUUCAUAUGCAUUUAACUAUUUCUUAAAUAUUUAAAUAAGUUGGUGUGCACAUUCUUCGAGUAAUUUUCAUAAUUCCAAAAAAGGCAGAAAGAUUGUAACUUAAAUAUUUGAAUUAUAUCUAACUUGAAUAAAUCUAUUAAAUUGAA